rnacentral:rRNA from 1 species
UACGGGGGGGGCAAGCGUUGUUCGGAAUUACUGGGCGUAAAGGGCGCGUAGGCGGCCUGCUAAGUCGGAUGUGAAAUCCCUCGGCUCAACCGAGGAACUGCAUCCGAUACUGGCGGGCUUGAAUCCGGGAGAGGGAUGUGGAAUUCCAGGUGUAGCGGUGAAAUGCGUAGAUAUCAGGAGGAACACCUGUGGUGUAGACGGCACUCUGGGCCGGAACUGACGCUGAGGAGCGAAAGCGUGGGGAGCGAACAGG